GAGGGUAGAGCUCAGUGGUAGAGUCCAUGCUUAGCAUGCACGAGGUCCUGGGUUCAAUCCCCAGUACCUCCA
rnacentral:tRNA from 1 species